AUCUAGGGGAGGGAUAAGUGAGUGUUUUGUGCGUGCUGGGCAGACAGACGUCUUUAAGUUUGACCUCAAAUCAGAUAGGGUUACCCGCUGAACUUAAGCAUAUCAAUAAGCGGAGGAAAAGAAACCAACUGGGAUUGCCUUAGUAACGGCGAGUGAAGCGGCAAAAGCUCAAAUUUGAAAUCUGGUACCUUUGGUGCCCGAGUUGUAAUUUGGAGAGUACCACUUUGGGACUGUACUUUGCCUAUGUUCCUUGGAACAGGACGUCAUGGAGGGUGAGAAUCCCGUGUGGCGAGGGUGUCAGUUCUUUGUAAAGGGUGCUCGAAGAGUCGAGUUGUUUGGGAAUGCAGCUCUAAGUGGGUGGUAAAUUCCAUCUAAAGCUAAAUACAGGCGAGAGACCGAUAGCGAACAAGUACAGUGAUGGAAAGAUGAAAAGAACUUUGAAAAGAGAGUGAAAAAGUACGUGAAAUUGUUGAAAGGGAAGGGCAUUUGAUCAGACAUGGUGUUUUGCGCCCCUUGCCUCUCGUGGGCUUGGGACUCUCGCAGCUCACUGGGCCAGCAUCGGUUUUGGCGGCCGGAAAAAACCUAGGGAAUGUGGCUCUGCGCCUCGGUGUAGAGUGUUAUAGCCCUGGGGAAUACGGCCAGCCGGGACCGAGGACUGCGAUACUUGUUAUCUAGGAUGCUGGCAUAAUGGUAUAUGCCGCGUCUUGAAAC
rnacentral:rRNA from 1 species